GAUGAACGCUGGCGGCGUGCCUAAUACAUGCAAGUCGAGCGAACAGACGAGGAGCUUGCUCCUCUGACGUUAGCGGCGGACGGGUGAGUAACACGUGGAUAACCUACCUAUAAGACUGGGAUAACUUCGGGAAACCGGAGCUAAUACCGGAUAAUAUAUUGAACCGCAUGGUUCAAUAGUGAAAGACGGUUUUGCUGUCACUUAUAGAUGGAUCCGCGCCGCAUUAGCUAGUUGGUAAGGUAACGGCUUACCAAGGCAACGAUGCGUAGCCGACCUGAGAGGGUGAUCGGCCACCCUGGAGCUGAGCCACGGUCCAGACUCCUACGGGACGCAGCAGUAGGGAAUCUUCCGCAAUGGGCGAAAGCCUGACGGAGCAACGCCGCGUGAGUGAUGAAGGUCUUCCGAUCGUAAAACUCUGUUAUUAGUGAAGAACAACUGUGUAAGUAACUAUGCACGUCUUGACGGUACCUAAUCAGAAAGCCACGGCUAACUACGUG
rnacentral:rRNA from 1 species